rnacentral:lncRNA from 1 species
UGUCCCUGAUCCUGGAUCAGUCGAAUGCGGACUCCUACCUUGUGCCGUUGAAAGAUGGAGUCUUUCCUUUCUCUGUAAGAAUAAUCUGUGUAUGAAUGAGAAUGAAUGAUGAGCAGCAGGAUGAGGAUCAGCAGAGCUCUCCCACACAGCGCUCGGAGACAUUCUGUCCUGGACAAUUAUUUCUGAGUCCACUCCCUACAUCCGCGGGGCGACCGUGCUGGACGGGUUUUACCUCUGACCCCGGGGGGACGCAGUAGGAGGCUCAAUAAAGCUAGUCAUUGCUGCAUACAAAUCACACAAUGGAGAAUGGGAGACUUAAAUAUGGAGCAGAGAGGCUAAGAGGAAUAUCAUGGCUGCCAUAGAGAGGAGGAACCAUCACAGAGCAGACAUAUGUGCCCUCACUGUGCUUUCUGGUUGGUUCAAGUUUAAAGGAGGCGUUUCCGCCAGCGAUGGUCUUGACAGUCACUCCUUUGCCUUCACUUUUACCAGUGCGGCUGGAGUAGCUAAAAAGCUUGGUCCGUUCUCCAUGUCUUUGAAGUCUCCACUCCACUGUUGCAUUGGGCAGUUUAUGAUCUACUGCAAACUGACAGUGCAGCUCUGGCUCUUUCAAGAAUCCCACCUCAACAGAGGGAGUCCGGGUCAAAACAACCAUUGCAGCUGGAAAACACACAAGGAAGACACUUUAAAACAUGCAGGGUUUUUCCUGCAAAGAGAAUUACGAGGUGGCCACCUCCAUUAAAUUUGUAUCACCACUCAAGUCUACUGACAGACCCUAGGUCAUGCUCAAGCAUUGGUCAUGCAUUUAAUGUUAGUCUUUUAAAAUAUAUUUUA